UGUGUAGCGGUAAAAUGCGUAGAUAUAUGGAAGAACACCAGUGGCGAAGGCGGCCGCCUGGCCUGUUGCUGACGCUGAGGCACGAAAGCGUGGGGAGCAAAUAGGAUUAGAUACCCUAGUAGUCCACGCCGUAAACGAUGAGGACCAAGUGUUGGGGGUGAAACCUCAGUGCUGAAGUUAACGCAGCGAGUCCUCCGCCUGGGGAGUAUGCACGCAAGUGUGAAACUCAAAGGAAUUGACGGGGGCCCGCACAAGCGGUGGAGUAUGUGGUUUAAUUCGAAGCAACGCGAAGAACCUUACCAGGCCUUGACAUGGGAUGCGAAGACGCAGAGAUGCGUUGGAGGCAAACAUCCACACAGGUGGUGCAUGGUUGUCGUCAGCUCGUGUCGUGAGAUGUUGGGUCAAGUCCCGCAACGAGCGCAACCCUUGUGGCAUGUUGCUAACAGGAAAGCUGAGGACUCAUGCCAGACUGCCGGUGACAAACCGGAGGAAGGCGGGGAUGACGUCAAAUCAUCAUGCCCCUUAUGGCCUGGGCUACACACGUACUACAAUGGCGGCUACAAAGAGCGGCGAGACAGUAAUGUCGAGCGAAUCUCAUAAAAGCCGUCCCAGUUCGGAUUGGAGCCUGCAACCCGGCUCCAUGAAGUUGGAAUCGCUAGUAAUCGCGGAUCAGCAUGCCGCGGUGAAUACGUUCCCGGGCCUUGCACACACCGCCCGUCAA
rnacentral:rRNA from 1 species